rnacentral:rRNA from 1 species
GGGCCCGCACAAGCGGUGGAGUAUGUGGUUUAAUUCGAUGCAACGCGAAGAACCUUACCAGGGUUUGACAUCCUGCGAAUUUCUGGGAAACCGGAAAGUGCCUUCGGGAGCGCAGUGACAGGUGGUGCAUGGCUGUCGUCAGCUCGUGUCGUGAGAUGUUGGGUUAAGUCCCGCAACGAGCGCAACCCACGUCUUUAGUUGCCAGCAUUUAGUUGGGCACUCUAGAGAGACCGCCGGUGAUAAACCGGAGGAAGGUGUGGAUGACGUCAAGUCAUCAUGCCCCUUACAUCCUGGGCUACACACGUACUACAAUGCUACGGACAAAGAGCAGCAAGUUCGCGAGGACAAGCAAAUCUCAUAAACCGUGGCUCAGUUCAGAUCGUAGGCUGCAACUCGCCUACGUGAAGGAGGAAUCGCUAGUAAUCG